rnacentral:rRNA from 1 species
UACGUAGGGACCAAGCGUUGUUCGGAUUUACUGGGCGUAAAGGGCGCGUAGGCGGCUUAACAAGUCACUUGUGAAAUCUCCGGGCUUAACUCGGAACGGCCAAGUGAAACUGUCAAGCCAGAGUGCAGAAGGGGCAAUCGGAAUUCUUGGUGUAGCGGUGAAAUGCGUAGAUAUCAAGAGGAACACCUGAGGUGAAGACGGGUUGCUGGGCUGACACUGACGCUGAGGCGCGAAAGCCAGGGGAGCAAACGGG